GAAAUGCGAUAAGUAAUGUGAAUUGCAGAAUUCAGUGAAUCAUCGAAUCUUUGAACGCACAUUGCGCCCGCCAGUAUUCUGGCGGGCAUGCCUGUCCGAGCGUCAUUUCAACCAUCAAGCCCCCGGGCUUGUGUUGGGGACCUGCGGCUGCCCGCAGGCCCUGAAAACCAGUGGCGGGCUCGCUGUCACACCGAGCUUAGUAGCAAUCACCUCGCUCAGGGCGUGCUGCGGGUUCCGGCCGUUAAACAGCCUUACAAAACCCAAGGUUGACCUCGGAUCAGGUAGGAAGACCCGCUGAACUUAAGC
rnacentral:misc_RNA from 1 species